UGAGUAACGCGUGGGUAACCUGCCCUGUACACACGGAUAACAUACCGAAAGGUAUGCUAAUACGGGAUAACAUAAGAAAGUCGCAUGGCUUUCUUAUCAAAGCUUUUACGGUACAGGAUGGACCCGCGUCUGAUUAGCUAGUUGGUAAGGUAACGGCUUACCAAGGCGACGAUCAGUAGCCGACCUGAGAGGGUGAUCGGCCACAUUGGAACUGAGACACGGUCCAAACUCCUACGGGAGGCAGCAGUGGGGAAUAUUGCACAAUGGGCGAAAGCCUGAUGCAGCAACGCCGCGUGAGCGAUGAAGGCCUUCGGGUCGUAAAGCUCUGUCCUCAAGGAAGAUAAUGACGGUACUUGAGGAGGAAGCCCCGGCUAACUACGUGCCAGCAGCCGCGGUAAUACGUAGGGGGCUAGCGUUAUCCGGAAUUACUGGGCGUAAAGGGUGCGUAGGCGGUCUUUCAAGUCAGAAGUGAAAGGCUACGGCUCAACCGUAGUAAGCUUUUGAAACUGUAAGACUUGAGUGCAGGAGAGGAGAGUGGAAUUCCUAGUGUAGCGGUGAAAUGCGUAGAUAUUAGGAGGAACACCAGUUGCGAAGGCGGCUCUCUGGACUGUAACUGACGCUGAGGCACGAAAGCGUGGGGAGCAAACA
rnacentral:rRNA from 1 species